GUUUUUAUAGUUGAUUUACAACGGUGGUUUUUCAAGCCAUUGGUCCAGGUUAGAGCCCUGGUAGAAAUA
rnacentral:tRNA from 1 species